rnacentral:rRNA from 1 species
AGCGAACGCUGGCGGCAGGCCUAACACCUGCAAGUCGAACGGAUCCUUCGGGAUUAGUGGCGGACGGGUGAGUAACACGUGGGAACGUGCCCUUUGGUUCGGAACAACUCAGGGAAACUUGAGCUAAUACCGGAUGUGCCCUUCGGGGGAAAGAUUUAUCGCCAUUGGAGCGGCCCGCGUCUGAUUAGCUAGUUGGUGAGGUAACGGCCCACCAAGGCGACGAUCAGUAGCUGGUCUGAGAGGAUGAUCAGCCACACUGGGUCUGAGACACGGCCCAGACUCCUACGGGAGGCAGCAGUGGGGAAUCUUGCGCAAUGGGCGAAAGCCUGACGCAGCCAUGCCGCGUGAAUGAUGAAGGUCUUAGGAUUGUAAAAUUCUUUCAGCGGGGACGAUAAUGACGGUACCCGCAGAAGAAGCUCCGGCUAACUUCGUG